UCCACUCCCAAGUGACUAGAUGUGGCUUCAUCCCUUUCUUCCUCUCCUGGUCUCUUGCAGAGCCUCACUGUCUUCCUGGAGGCCUUAGAGGGCAUUGAGUCUGUCAUCCAGAAGGACAAGUUUCUGGACAUCAUGAGUGCCGUGUUCUACCAGCUCUAUGACAACACCAAGCAGCACAGCGAGGCUGAUCGUGCGGAGCUGACCCACUGCAUCCUGCUGCAGGCCCGGAUCUGCCCAGAGGAAAUGGUCCUGUUUCUGCAGUCACAGCUGGGCGAGGACUGGGAGGCUGGACGCGUGGCAGCACUGGGUCUGCUCGGUGCUCUGGCUCGCUCUGAUGAGCCCGUGAU